UGGCUCUCGCAUCGAUGAAGAACGCAGCGAAAUGCGAUAAGUAAUGUGAAUUGCAGAAUUCAGUGAAUCAUCGAAUCUUUGAACGCACCUUGCGCUCCUUGGUAUUCCGAGGAGCAUGCCUGUUUGAGUGUCGUGAAGUUCUCAACUCUGGGGAUUUUAUUUUCUCUUGGAAGUUGGAUUUGGGAUUUGCGUGUUUGAAAUGCCCGCUGUCCUCAAUUUCAUUAGCCGCAUUGCACUUUGGCUCACUGGUGUGAUAACAAACUUGACAUCGAGGAGUGUUGAGUGCAGUGGCUUCCAAUAAUUCUAUUUUUAUGACCUCUUUGACCUCAAAUCAGGUAGGACUACCCGCUGA
rnacentral:misc_RNA from 1 species